UAACCCCUCAAGCCUAGCUUGGUGUUGGGGCCUGCUGUUACCGGCAGCCUUUAAAAUCAGUGGCGGUGCCAUCUGGCUCUAAGCGUAGUAAUACUUCUCGCUAUAGGGUCCUGGUGGAUGCUUGCCAUCAACCCCUAGUUUUCUAU
rnacentral:misc_RNA from 1 species